GUCCUUUUGUUUAUAAUUUAAGGUUUAACCUGCCCACUGAAUAAUAUUUUAAAUGGCCGCAGUAAUUUGACUGUGCAAAGGUAGCAUAAUCAUUAGUUUUUUAAUUAAAAGCUUGUAUGAAAGGUUGGACGAGGUAAAUUCUGUCUUUAUUUAAUUUAAAUUAGAAUUUAAUUUUUAAGUUAAAAAGCUUAAAUAUAUUUAAAAGACGAGAAGACCCUAUAGAUCUUAAUAUUAAUUAUAAUAAAUUUAAUUAAGAAUAAUUAAUUUUUUAUUAUAAAAAAUAUUUUAUUGGGGUAAUAAAAAGAUUAAAUAAAUUCUUUUUUUAUUUUUACAUAGAUAAAUGAAUAUUUGAUCCAAUUUUAUUGAUUAAAAGAUUAAGUUACCUUAGGGAUAACAGCGUAAUUUUUUUAGAGAGUUCAUAUCGAUAAAAAAGUUUGCGACCUCGAUGUUGGAUUAAAAAUUAUUUUAGGUGUAGUAGUUUAAAAUUUUGGUCUGUUCGACCAUUGAAUUUUU
rnacentral:rRNA from 1 species